rnacentral:rRNA from 1 species
CCUACGGGUGGCAGCAGUGGGGAAUAUUGCGCAAUGGGCGAAAGCCUGACGCAGCGACGCCGCGUGAGGGAUGAAGGUCUUCGGAUCGGAAACCUCUGUCAGCAGGGAAGAACGGUCACUGUGCUAAUCAGCAGUGAAUUGACGGUACCUGCAAAGGAAGCACCGGCUAACUCCGUGCCAGCAGCCGCGGUAAUACGGAGGGUGCGGGCGUUGAUCGGAAUUACUGGGCGUAAAGCGGUCGUAGGCGGUAUGGCAAGUCAAGGGUGAAAUCCCCGCGCUCAACGUGGGAACUGCCUCUGAAACUGGCAAACUGGAGGGGGUGAGAGGAUAGUGGAAUUCCAGGUGUAGGAGUGAAAUCCGUAGAUAUCUGGAGGAACAUCAGUGGCGAAGGCGACUAUCUGGCACAUAACUGACGCUGAGGAGCGAAAGCGUGGGUAGCAAACAGGAUUAGAUACCCGUGUAGUC